rnacentral:rRNA from 1 species
UGACGAGUGGCGCACGGGUGCGCAACGCGUAUAGAACCUACCCUGUACAGGGGGAUAGCCCAGAGAAAUUUGGAUUAAUACCCCGUGGUAAAUAUAAAUGGCAUCAUUUAUAUUUUAAAGUUUUCGGACGGUACGGGAUGGCUAUGCGUCCUAUUAGUUAGAUGGUGAGGUAACGGCUCACCAUGGCAGCGAUAGGUAGGGGCCCUGAGAGGGGGAUCCCCCACACUGGUACUGAGACACGGACCAG